AGAGUUUGAUCAUGGCUCAGGGUGAACGCUGGCGGCGUGCCUAACACAUGCAAGUCGAGCGGGUACCCGCAAGGGUACCAGCGGCGCACGGGUGAGUAACACGUGGGUAAUCUACCCCUCGGAGGGGGAUAACCGGGGGAAACUCCGGCUAAUACCCCAUACGAUCCAACAACACAAGUUGUUGGAUGAAAGGAGCGUUUGCUCCGCCGAGGGAUGAGCCCGCGGCCCAUCAGGUAGUUGGUGGGGUAAUGGCCCACCAAGCCUACGACGGGUAGCCGGCCUGAGAGGGUGGUCGGCCACAAGGGCACUGAGACACGGGCCCUACUCCUACGGGAGGCAGCAGUGGGGAAUCUUGGACAAUGGGCGAAAGCCUGAUCCAGCGACGCCGCGUGGGGGAUGAAGCCCUUCGGGGUGUAAACCCCUGUUGCGAGGGAGGAAUAAGGCCUGGAGGAAAUGCCAGGCCGAUGACUGUACCUCGCGAGGAAGCCCCGGCUAACUACGUGCCAGCAGCCGCGGUAAUACGUAGGGGGCGAGCGUUACCCGGAUUCACUGGGCGUAAAGCGGGUGUAGGCGGCUCGGUAAGUCGGGUGUGAAAUCCCACAGCUCAACUGUGGAAUUGCGCCCGAAACUGCUGAGCUUGGGGCCGGUAGAGGGAGACGGAACUGCCGGUGUAGGGGUGAAAUCCGUAGAUAUCGGCAGGAACGCCGGUGGGGAAGCCGGUCUCCUGGGCCGCGCCCGACGCUGAGACCCGAAAGCUAGGGGAGCAAACCGGAUUAGAUACCCGGGUAGUCCUAGCCGUAACGAUGCCCACUAGGUGUGGGGGAUUAAUUCCUCCGUGCUGUAGCUAACGCGUUAAGUGGGCCGCCUGGGGAGUACGCCCGCAAGGGUGAAACUCAAGGAAUUGACGG
rnacentral:rRNA from 1 species